rnacentral:lncRNA from 1 species
AGCUGGGUAGCGUGAUGACAUACUUCCCCGGACAGCCAUUUUAUUUUAAUUCCGGAGGGCUUCGUUUUUGAGGACCGUUGCUCGGUGUCUCGACCGUUUUUUUGCUGAAAGUUCUAGAGGCUGCCCGGAGCUCCAGAUGGCCCCCGCUUAGUUGUUCAAAUAUGGGCGAAUAGUAGUGAACCCUGCCAUCCGGAUUGGCUCAUAAGAAUUUUAAAAUUUUGAUUAGUCCGCGUUUACAGUACGUAAUGAACACAUUUGUCAUAGGGAGUUGGCACGUGUUUAUAACACAUCUUGAUUAUUUGUACCUCCCCUCUGCAUCUCAUGAAUAUUGAGUCUAAAGCUUUCUGCUCCUGAGACUUUUGCCUUUCCCCAAGGAAUAAAAGAGGUCACAUGAUGACAGCUGUGCCCUUAACAUCCAGAUCCCAGGUGGGCUGGCUUUCCUUUGGACAUAUAUGUGUAUAUACAUGCUUGUUUAUGUGCAUUCAUAAAUAUCUUUGUUUAUGCACUUUGUGCAUGUGUUAAUAGAUAUGCAAAACAUUUUAUAUGGAAAUUUCUUCCUGAGAACUAACUUAUUUACAACACAAGUCUUAAAUGUAUAGCUCACUUUUAGAAAUGUACACACCUAUAUUACCAUCACCCAUGUCAAGAUCUAAAACAUUAUUAGCAUCCCAAGAAGCCUUCUUUUAUGUCCUCUCCUAAGCAUCCCCCUGUCCCAAAGUUAACCACUAUUCUGAUCUCUAUCAGUAUAGAUUUUGUUUAUUCUGGAGCCUUGUAUAAAUGGAAUCCUUCAGUAUGUACUCUUGGAUCUGCCUUUUUCAUGUAACAUUAUGUCUGUGAACUUGGCACCCAUGGUGUUGCAUACACCAGUAUUUAUUCUUUUUUAUCGCUAACUAGCUUUCCACUAUCUGAUUAUACCACAUUUUAUCUCUUCAUUCUACUAUAGAUGGGCUUUUGUUGUUUCUAGUUUUUCACUCCUGCAAAAUAAGAAUACAUUGGACAUUUUGUGGACACAAGCACUCAUUCUUUUGGUUUUAUCUCUAGGAGUGAAAUCGCUAGAGUGCAGGUUAUACCUUUAGUUAGUUUUAGUAGAUACUGCCCCCAAAUUUUCCAAAAUAGUUGUUCUAGUUUAUAUUUUUACCAACAGCAUACCA